CCUACGGGAGGCAGCAGUGGGGGAUAUUGCACAAUGGGGGGAACCCUGAUGCAGCGACGCCGCGUGGGUGAAGAAGCGCCUCGGCGCGUAAAGCCCUGUCAGCAGGGAAGAAAAUGACGGUACCUGGAGAAGAAGCCCCGGCUAACUACGUUCCAGCAGCCGCGGUAAUACGUAGGGGGCAAGCGGUAUCCGGAUUUACUGGGUGGAAAGGGGGCGCAGACGGCGAUGCAAGCCAGGAGUGAAAGCCCGGGGCCCAACCCCGGGACUGCUCUUGGAACUGCGUGGCUGGAGUGCAGGAGGGGCAGGCGGAAUUCCUGGUGUAGCGGUGAAAUGCGUAGAUAUCAGGAGGAACACCGGUGGCGAGGGCGGCCUGCUGGACUGCAACUGACGUUGAGGCCCGAAAGCGUGGGGAGCAAACAGGAUUAGAUACCCUAGUAGUC
rnacentral:rRNA from 1 species